rnacentral:rRNA from 1 species
UAGGGAAUCUUCCACAAUGGACGCAAGUCUGAUGGAGCAACGCCGCGUGAGUGAAGAAGGCUUUCGGGUCGUAAAACUCUGUUAUUGAAGAAGAACGUGUGUGACAGUAACUGGUCAUGCAGUGACGGUAUUCAAUCAGAAAGUCACGGCUAACUACGUGCCAGCAGCCGCGGUAAUACGUAGGUGGCAAGCGUUGUCCGGAUUUAUUGGGCGUAAAGCGAGUGCAGGCGGUCUUUUAAGUCUGAUGUGAAAGCCUUCGGCUUAACCGAAGAAGGGCAUCGGAAACUGGGAGACUUGAGUGCAGAAGAGGAGAGUGGAACUCCAUGUGUAGCGGUGAAAUGCGUAGAUAUAUGGAAGAACACCAGUGGCGAAGGCGGCUCUCUGGUCUGUAACUGACGCUGAGGCUCGAAAGCGUGGGGU